rnacentral:rRNA from 1 species
UUUUAUGGAGAGUUUGAUCCUGGCUCAGAGUGAACGCUGGCGGCGUGCCUAAUACAUGCAAGUCGAACGAUGAAGCUUCUAGCUUGCUAGAAGUGGA